UUGACAAGUCGUUUCUGCUGUUACGCAAAAUAUGAGUAAAAAUGCCAAGGUUGGGUAAUGAGAUUCCGUAAGAGUCAGUGCCAGCAAGAAUAAGAAAGCCCAUACUAAUCAGCAGUCGUCGUUCCUCCCAAUUAAAUUUCAACUCCUCGGAUGUGUAGGAAGGUAGUGGAUUUUCAAUCAAUAGUUUAUGCAACUUAAAGAUUAGCGUAUAAAUAUGUUCCUGAUCUUUGAACUUGCACAAAUAGUAUGUAAAUAAUUUAUCAAACUCAGGUCGCAAAAUUAAGCAAGACUCACCACAGAACUUGUCAGAUCUAUUUAGGUAAAGACGACGGAUGUCUCCUGUACGUAUAGAUUGUUCUAACUCUUCAGCAACACUGGUAUAGUUUGAUUGAAAUAAGCCUAUCAACUGUGUUUCCACAAUCAUUCGCGGACACUGUGCAACUAAAACAUUCGUUUGCUGGCGCAUUUGAAUGUCACGAAACAUUUCCUCAACUAAAACUUCUAUAGAGUUUCGUAUCGUUUUGUUUCUUAAUACAAUCAAUGGAGGAACAUUGUACGAAAUGAUGUUUAAUGGUGAUUGACCAGUACACAUAGAU